UACAGAGGGUGCAAGCGUUAAUCGGAAUUACUGGGCGUAAAGCGUGCGUAGACGGUUACAUAAGUCGGGUGUGAAAGCCCCGGGCUCAACCUGGGAAUUGCAUUCGAGACUGCGUAGCUAGGGUGCGGAAGAGGGAAGCGGAAUUUCCGGUGUAGCAGUGAAAUGCGUAGAUAUCGAGAGGAACACCAGUGGCGAAGGCGAGUCCCUGGACAACACCUGACACUGAGGCACGAAAGCUAGGGGAGCAAACAGG
rnacentral:rRNA from 1 species